rnacentral:miRNA from 1 species
CAAAUGCCUACUGCUGUCUCUG